GUAGUCAACAAAAUAUUUUAAUGAUUAACAUGUGAAGCAUUGUUGUGAAUGUUUUAGCCUACAUUGAAUCUAGUUCCCCUCGCUAUCCUGUUCGUCAAUUCUAAUGAUGUACUGGACGUCGGGGAACAAUAUGU
rfam:Brassica oleracea var. oleracea cultivar TO1000 chromosome C7, whole genome shotgun sequence